rnacentral:tRNA from 1 species
GCGGAUAUGGCGGAAUUGGCAGACGCGCUACUUUGAGGUGGUAGUGCCGUAAGGCGUGCAGGUUCAAGUCCUGCUAUCCGCACCC